CCUACGGGGGGCAGCAGUGAGGAAUAUUGGUCAAUGGACGAGAGUCUGAACCAGCCAAGUCGCGUGAGGGAUGACGGUCCUAUGGAUUGUAAACCUCUUUUGUCGGGGAGCAAGGCCCGCCACGUGUGGCGGGAAGGAGAGUACCCGACGAAAAAGCAUCGGCUAACUCCGUGCCAGCAGCCGCGGUAAUACGGAAGGUGCGGGCGUUAUCCGGAUUUAUUGGGUUUAAAGGGAGCGUAGGCCGGCUUUUAAGUCAGCUGGGAAAGUCCGCGGCUCAACCGUGGAAUUGCAGUUGAAACUGGAGGCCUUGAGUGCACACAGGGAUGCCGGAAUUCAUGGUGUAGCGGUGAAAUGCUUAGAUAUCAUGAAGAACUCCGAUGGCGAAGGCGAGUGUCCGGGGUGCAACUGACGCUGAGGCUCGAAAGUGCGGGUAGCAAACAGGAUUAGAUACCCGAGUAGUC
rnacentral:rRNA from 1 species